UUGGAGGGCAAGUCUGGUGCCAGCAGCCGCGGUAAUUCCAGCUCCAAUAGCGUAUAUUAAAGUUGUUGUGGUUAAAAAGCUCGUAGUUGAACCUUGGGCCUGGCUGGCCGGUCCGCCUCACCGCGUGUACUGGUCCGGCCGGGUCUUUCCCUCUGUGGAACCCUAUGCCCUUCACUGGGUGUAGCGGGGAAGCAGGACUUUUACUUUGAAAAAAUUAGAGUGCUCCAGGCAGGCCUAUGCUCGAAUACAUUAGCAUGGAAUAAUAGAAUAGGAGCGGAAUCCGGUGUGAUACUUCGGCGCCUUACGGGAAA
rnacentral:rRNA from 1 species